AAACCGUUCCUCCCCAGCGAUUACAAACCAUCUUUUCCUUAUAUUUACUUUUUUCUAAUUGCUAAUUAUACCCGAAGGCGUCUAAACCUUCCGUCGGGACGCGCGUGCGCUCGUGUUAAAUUAAAACGCGCACCGAAACGUAAACAAAAUAUAUUCAAGCACACAAACAUGUGUUAAUAAGUUAAAAACUACGUGAAAUUAAUCGCAAAUUAGUUACGAUUUUGAGUGUAUAAUGCACUAAGAUAUAUAAAAAGUGAUACGUCUCUUUCAAAAGAAAAUUGGCAACAAAGAAAAAGAUCCAAAAUAGAAUGGUUUCAAAAUAAAAUUAAUCAGGAUAAAUGUGCAAGAUGAGUAAAUCGCAGUCUACAACGAAACAGGGGAAAAGAAAUUUACCUCCCGGAGUAGCGAAAUUAAAGAUGGCCAGCGACCUACAUCCGAGCGACACAUUAAACGGAAACGACGUAAUCAUGGCGAAAACGACAACCUUCCCCCAUACCACUCCUUACACUUCACCCAGAGUUAUCUCAACAACUUCACAGCUGCAGACAAACACCCAGUCCAGUACAACGACAAGUCGCGUGGCGAAAACCUCUUCGGUAACGACCAGUUCGCAACGAUUCCACGUAACCAAGUCAUCAUCUACGUCCGAUAGCAAAGUAACCUCCGUCCAAUCAGACCUUAAAUCGCUUAAGAACAAUUUCAAAGAGAUGAAGACCAUCGCCGAAACAAAAACAAGAUUUAAUUCAGUCGAAACGUUAGUCGACGGCGACGAUAUGAACAGCGACACCCCUCAGCCUUUAGUCACCUUCCCAGAUGACACUCCAGUACCUUCGGAAUUAAAUUCACCAACUAAUUUAUUGGACACCGUUAAAUUCGAACAAAAAACUGUUAAUAAUUAUAAAACAUCAAAGGUUGUGAAAGAUGGAUUUAGUGCUGAGAAGAAAAGUGCUAAUUGUGCUGAAUUGAAGAGGGUACAAGCUGGUGAUGUGUCUUAUGAAGAAAAUAGUGCAGCUGCUAGUUCACAUGCAAGAUUGGAGGUAGAUGGAAUCUCUGCAGAAAAAUCACAAGUUCAAGCAAUGGAAGCUAGAUCAUUGAUAGCCGGUGAUAUAAGUCAACAAGAAUCGAAAAAUAUGGCCCACACAACGAUGAAAGUUACCACAGACACGUUUAGUCAAGAGAAGACACAAAGCGAAGCAAACCAACGAAAACAAAUGGUUACAGCUUCGGGGGUUUACAACGAACAACAUAGUUCAUCUUCACAAUCAACUUCCUUCACUGCUACAACUAAAGGAAUACACACCUCGGCUAGCUCAAAGUUGUUAUCAUCGGCUGCUCAGUUCCAACUUAACGAUUCAUCAAAAAUAGAAGACGAACUAAUAAACAUGUCCGCGGACGAUUUGGAACAAUUAUCCCAAAACUCCAAUAACGAGGACAUAGUCAAAGCAAUACAGAAAUACGCCGCUUAUUUCGACAAAUCCUUCCAAUGUCUUCGACAGAAAGAUAUGCAAGGCGAAAAGUCUUGUAACCUACUGGAGAAAGUGAACGAUAUAAUGCGUAAAGCCUGGGCUGUGCCAACUCACGGUCACGAACUCGGCUACGAACUUUGCAACGCAAUGAGAAAAUGCGGCCUUUUAGAUUUACUAAUAGCUAAUUGCAUCAAUGACGACGACAAACUUAAGAUAUCCAGCGCAAAAUUACUUGAACAAUGUCUUACCACUGAAAAUAGGGAACACGUCGUCGCACACGGAUUAGAUAAAGUCGUUCAUGUUGCUUGCGUUUGCACGAAAAAUUCAAAUACCGUUAAUGAUUCUCGAAUCGGUACAGGAAUUUUAGAACAUUUGUUUAAACAUAGCGAAGAAACCUGUAGUGACGUCAUUCGUUUAGGCGGCUUAGAUGCGUUACUUUUCGAAUGCAGAAAAAAAGACGUCGAAACUUUAAGACAUUGCGCUGGCGCAUUAGCAAAUUUAAGUUUAUACGGUGGUGCUGAAAAUCAAGAAGCAAUGAUCAAACGCAAAGUACCAAUGUGGUUAUUCCCCUUAGCGUUUCACACCGACGAUAACAUCAAAUAUUACGCUUGUUUAGCAAUAACAGUUCUUGUAGCCAACGCUGAAAUCGAAGCUGAAGUGAUACAAUCGGGAACUUUAGGACUUGUUGAACCUUUUGUUACGUCUCAUAAUCCAUCGGAAUUUGCAAGAUCCAAUUUAGCUCACGCACAUGGUCAAAGCAAAACUUGGUUACAACAUCUUGUACCGGUUUUGAGUUCUAAAAGAGAAGAAGCUAGGAAUUUAGCCGCUUUCCAUUUUUGUAUGGAGGCUGGAAUUAAAAAGCAACAAUGCAAUACGAAUAUUUUUGCCGAAAUCGGUGCAAUUGAAUCUUUGAAAAGGGUCGCAAGUUCUCCUAAUGCUGUUGCUUCCAAAUACGCUGCGCAAGCUUUAAGAUUAAUUGGCGAAGAAGUUCCACACAAAUUAAGCCAACAGGUGCCUUUAUGGUCAGUUGAGGAUGUUGAAGAAUGGGUCAAACAAAUUGGAUUUAGUGAAGUCGCUACGAAUUUUGUUGAAAGCCGAGUUGAUGGAGAUUUAUUGUUGCAAUUAACUGAAGAAAACUUAAUUGAUGAUAUUGGUUUAGCAAAUGGAAUUAAAAGAAAAAGAUUCACUCGUGAAUUAAUAAAGCUCAAAAAACUCGCAGAUUACACUUCUCGUGAUAUAGCAAACAUCAAUCAUUUCCUACAAAAUCUCGGUCCAGAUUACGGAAUGUACACUUAUUCCAUGUUAAACGCAGGAGUUGGAAGUAAAGACUCCCUUUGUUCUUUAUCUGAAGACCAGCUGCUUCAAGAAUGUGGCAUAACCAAUUCCAUUCAUCGUGCUCGUAUUAUGGAAGGAAUCAAAGCAGCAGAAAAGAACUCCUUAAGCGUCAGCGAAGACAACAUGAACAAACCCCUCGACGUUUUUGUCAGCUACAGACGCUCAAACGGCUCUCAACUGGCCAGUUUACUCAAAGUCCAUUUACAAUUACGCGGUUUUAGCGUGUUCAUUGACGUGGAACGACUCGAGGCUGGAAAAUUCGAUAACAAUCUCCUUCAAAGUAUUCAAAAAGCAAAACAUUUUCUUUUGGUGCUUACCCCGAACGCUCUCGAAAGGUGCGUUGGGGACGUUGAGAAGAAAGACUGGGUUCACAGGGAAAUCGUGGCAGCUUUACAGGCACAAUGCAACAUCAUACCUAUUAUCGACAAUUUUGCUUGGCCCGAAACGGAUGUUUUGCCUGAAGAUAUGCGUCAGGUGUGCCAUUUUAACGGGGUCAGAUGGAUACACGAUUAUCAGGAUGCUUGCGUGGAUAAAUUAGAAAGGUUCAUGCGUGGUGAAGUAAACGCGAAAAAUGACACUUCACUGAGUCGUGUUGGAAUGGCUAAAGGCGAUUUAACUCCGGGUACUCCUUCAAAUCCUGGAUUGUCGCGUCCUCCCGUUUACCAAAGGAUGCAUAGUAACGAUUCUGGGAAAGGGGAUAAGGAUGUUAACGGCAAUCGGGACUGACUAGAUGGUCCCCAUGCCUCGGUCGCACCUUCACCUUUACCUAGGUACGAUGUGAACGCAUGAAAAAUUAAUUUGACUUCUAAUUACCCCAAAGGUUUUAUAAAUCAUCAAAUCCGUCCCGUCCAUGGCUAAUGACAGCUAGAAAAUUUGGUUUACCUCCUCAACACCCGAUACCUACAGAUCGUAGAGGUUCACAUACGCCAAUAUCGCCACUAGUAAAAAAAUCUCAACCACCAAACAGAUCUCGUAGUUUAGAUGGACUUCUUGACGCGGAAGUUGAAGAAGUGAAACCGACUACUGUUUCUACGGACGUUUUAUCAUCGCCGUCUUCUUCGGAAGUACCCGAAACCACUCAAAUUAUUAUUUCCGAGCCAGAUGAUUCCCCACCGUCUACAGCUUCUAUUAUUGAUAAUGAUGCUGCUGUUGUCGAAUCGGAAGACGGUUGUGAAGUAAAAAUAGAAGAAACGCAACCCGAUUUAAGCGACAUUUCAGAUGAAAACUGUGAUAUGAGCAAAAAGUCGUCGACUCUCAGCUUGCAGAGUAGCACGAGCGACUCGAAACGUAAAAGGAACUUUAUGGACAAGUGUGUCAAUAAAGUGAGAUCUCUGAUGAAGAAGUGAUUAUUUUUUUUGUAAUUUUUUAUUAUGAAGUAUUAAAAUGUGCUUUGCCGACGGUG